rnacentral:lncRNA from 1 species
AUUCAAAGGUCUCCAGUUCCAGCCUCCCUGCUACUAGAUCAGGUUGCCCAAACCCCAUCUAGCCUGACCUUGGGCACUGCCUGGGUUGGGGCACCCACAGCUCCUCUGGGCAGUCUGGGCCAGGGCCUCACAGCCCUCGCUGUGAAACAUUCCUUCCUUAAGUCUCAAGGAAGAGAUAACUUUCUAAGUCCUACAGACCCCAUCAGGCAGGCAACAAGAAGAGGGUUAAUGCUCCUCUUCUCUUGGCAGAGAGCACCUCACAGCUGCCUGCCCUCAUUUCAGAGAUUGCCAGGGAACCCAGCCACAGGGGAAGGAGGAGGAAGGGGAGGCUGUGCCUUGGCCCAGCUGGAGUGAGUUGCUGUGCCCCAAGGGAGCUAUAAAGCUCCUCUGGUGAGGCUGGCACUUCUCCUGGUUUAGCUCUGCAGCCAGAGCUUUUCUCUGAGAAAGAUGAUGAACCUUUACGGGAAAAGAAGGCUUCAGUGUCAAGAGUGAAUGAUUUUGUUUUAUGAGUGGUUUUUGUUCAUCUUUGUUCUGCCCUUGGCUAAAGGAUCUGUACUUAUUAAAAUAGGAGAAUGUGAAGGAAUUCCUCUGAAGACUGAGACGCAUCUGGCAAGCUCUAAAAAUAACCUCAGCUUUCCAAGGAGACAGCACAAAAAGUCUUGGAUCUGCUGAAGAAAGAUGAGCAGGCAUCUUUCUAGCUGAAUCCUAGCUGAAUUUUUAGCUGAAGUUUUGUAUCGGAUGAGACCAUUAGCUGUUCUCUUUGAUAGAGGCUGUCAAUUCCUGCUCUUGCUGUUUCUGUAGCAGCAACUUCAGUGUUGAAGACUGUUUCUGGAGAUUGUUGAGGUCUGCAAUAUAAAUGAAGUAGGCACCGCAAAGCAAAGCCAGAACAGUUAAAGGAAUGUGAUAACGAAAUCCAUGCGUGUGCUUGGGAGCAGGAGUGGCCAGGAGGCUCAGAUACUCAAAAUAUUCAGCCUCUGAAUUUAUGAGGACUUGUCCAACUUUAGCACCCAGAGGGACUCCCCUGUUGCUAUGAUUUGAUUGCCCAUACAUUCAGAUUGAGUAUACACCACCUGUUAACAUACAGA